UACGGGGGGAGCAAGCGUUGUUCGGAUUUACUGGGCGUAAAGAGCUCGUAGGCGGUGUGUCGCGUCGGCCGUGAAAACCUGCAGCUUAACUGUGGGCUUGCGGUCGAUACGGGCAUCACUGGAGUUCGGUAGGGGAGACUGGAAUUCCUGGUGUAGCGGUGAAAUGCGCAGAUAUCAGGAGGAACACCGGUGGCGAAGGCGGGUCUCUGGGCCGAUACUGACGCUGAGGAGCGAAAGCGUGGGGAGCGAACAGG
rnacentral:rRNA from 1 species